rnacentral:lncRNA from 1 species
AAAUUUUGUUCGAAAGCCAUUUAUGCUUUUAUCCUCAAUUAAAAUAAAUAAUACUGAAGAAAAUAAAACUAAAAGAAAAGAAAUAAUCAGACCAGAUUUUGAGCUUUUGAGAAUGAAAUCAAAAUUAUUGGCAAAUUUGAAAAUAAUAAAAUGCUUUGUUGAGCUAACUGAUCCCCUAUUUGACAACCAUUAUUUUAAUGACCUGUUUGAGCCCCAAUUUUUUGUGGAAUGUAUUUUGAUAUAGUAAAUUAAUGGAAAAUGUAUAGUUAAAAAUAAGGAAAAAUUUUAAGUUCAC